GACGAACGCUGGCGGCGUGCCUAACACAUGCAAGUCGAACGGAAAGGCCCUGCUUUUUUGGGGUGCUCGAGUGGCGAACGGGUGUGUUACCCGUGAGUAACCUGCCCUUGACUUUGGGAUAACUUCAGGAAACUGGGGCUAAUACCGGAUAGGAGCUCCUGCUGCAUGGUGGGGGUUGGAAAGUUUCGGCGGUUGGGGAUGGACUCGCGGCUUAUCAGCUUGUUGGUGGGGUAGUGGCUUACCAAGGCUUUGACGGGUAGCCGGCCUGAGAGGGUGACCGGCCACAUUGGGACUGAGAUACGGCCCAGACUCCUACGGGAGGCAGCAGUGGGGAAUAUUGCACAAUGGGCGGAAGCCUGAUGCAGCAACGCCGCGUGCGGGAUGACGGCCUUCGGGUUGUAAACCGCUUUCGCCUGUGACGAAGCGUGAGUGACGGUAAUGGGUAAAGAAGCACCGGCUAACUACGUG
rnacentral:rRNA from 1 species